rnacentral:rRNA from 1 species
GCCACAUAACACCUGGUCCCGUACGAUCACCGAAGUUAAGCAACGGCGAGCCCGGUCAGGACCUAAAUGGGUGACCAUUUGGAAAUACUAGGUGCUGUAA